rnacentral:rRNA from 1 species
UACGUAGGGGGCAAGCGUUGUCCGGAUUUACUGGGUGUAAAGGGCGCGUAGGCGGGUUUAUAAGUCAGAGGUGAAAUCCUGCAGCUUAACUGCAGAACUGCCUUUGAUACUGUAAAUCUUGAGUAUGAAAGAGAGAGACGGAAUUCCAGGUGUAGUGGUGAAAUACGUAGAUAUCUGGAAGAACACCAGUUGCGAAGGCGGUCUCUUGGUUCAUUACUGACGCUGAGGCGCGAAAGCGUGGGUAGCAAACAGG